CUACGGGUUGCUGCAGUGGGGAAUAUUGCACAAUGGGCGCAAGCCUGAUGCAGCCAUGCCGCGUGUAUGAAGAAGGCCUUCGGGUUGUAAAGUACUUUCAGCGGGGAGGAAGGGAGUAAAGUUAAUACCUGUGCUCAUUGACGUUACCUGCAGAAGAAGCACCGGCUAACUCCGUGCCAGCAGCCGCGGUAAUACGGAGGGUGCAAGCGUUAAUCGGAAUUACUGGGCGUAAAGCGCACGCAGGCGGUUUGUUAAGUCAGAUGUGAAAUCCCCGGGCUCAACCUGGGAACUGCAUUUGAUACUGGCAAGCUUGAGUCUCGUAGAGGGGGGUAGAAUUCCAGGUGUAGCGGUGAAAUGCGUAGAGAUCAGGAGGAACACCGGUGGCGAAGGCGGCCCCCUGGACGAAGACUGACGCUCAGGUACGAAAGCGUGGGGAGCAAACAGGAUUAGAUACCCCAGUAGUC
rnacentral:rRNA from 1 species